CAGUGAAAACGAGUAGGGCGGGACACGUGAUAUCCUGUCUGAAUAUGGGGGGACCAUCCUCCAAGGCUAAAUACUACUGACUGACCGAUAGUGAACCAGUACCGUGAGGGAAAGGCGAAAAGAACCCCUGUGAGGGGAGUGAAAUAGAACCUGAAACCGUGUACGUACAAGCAGUAGGAGCACCUUCGUGGUGUGACUGCGUACCUUUUGUAUAAUGGGUCAGCGACUUAAUUUUAGUAGCAAGGUUAACCGUUUAGGGGAGCCGUAGGGAAACCGAGUCUUAACUGGGCGUACAGUUGCUAGGAUUAGACCCGAAACCAGGUGAUCUAGCCAUGGGCAGGUUGAAGGUUGAGUAACAUCAACUGGAGGACCGAACCGACUAAUGUUGAAAAAUUAGCGGAUGACUUGUGGCUAGGGGUGAAAGGCCAAUCAAACCUGGAGAUAGCUGGUUCUCCCCGAAAGCUAUUUAGGUAGCGCCUCGGACGAAUACUACUGGGGGUAGAGCACUGUUAAGGCUAGGGGGUCAUCCCGACUUACCAACCCUUUGCAAACUCCGAAUACCAGUAAGUACUAUCCGGGAGACACACGGCGGGUGCUAACGUCCGUCGUGGAGAGGGAAACAACCCAGACCGCCAGCUAAGGUCCCAAAGUAUAGCUAAGUGGGAAACGAUGUGGGAAGGCUCAGACAGCCAGGAUGUUGGCUUAGAAGCAGCCAUCAUUUAAAGAAAGCGUAAUAGCUCACUGGUCGAGUCGGCCUGCGCGGAAGAUGUAACGGGGCUAAGCUAUACACCGAAGCUGCGGCUACGUACCUUAGGGUAUGUGGGGUAGGGGAGCGUUCUGUAAGCCGUUGAAGGUGGUCUGUAAGGGCUGCUGGAGGUAUCAGAAGUGCGAAUGCUGACAUGAGUAACGAUAAAGGGAGUGAAAAACUCCCUCGCCGGAAGACCAAGGGUUCCUGUCCAACGUUAAUCGGGGCAGGGUAAGUCGACUCCUAAGGCGAGGCCGAAAGGCGUAGUCGAUGGGAAACGGGUUAAUAUUCCCGUACUUCUUACAAUUGCGAUGGGGGGACGGAGAAGGCUAGGUGGGCCUGGCGACGGUUGUCCAGGUUCAAGUA
rnacentral:rRNA from 1 species